ACGGGAGGCAGCAGUGGGGAAUAUUGGGCAAUGGGCGAAAGCCUGACCCAGCAACGCCGCGUGAGGGAAGAAGGUUUUCGGAUUGUAAACCUCUGUCCUAGGUGACGAAGGAAGUGACGGUAGCCAAGGAGGAAGCCCCGGCUAACUACGUGCCAGCAGCCGCGGUAAUACGUAGGGGGCGAGCGUUAUCCGGAUUUACUGGGUGUAAAGGGCGCGUAGGCGGGGAUGCAAGUCAGAUGUGAAAUCCAUGGGCUUAACUCAUGAACUGCAUUUGAAACUGUAUCUCUUGAGUGUCGGAGAGGUAGAUGGAAUUCCUAGUGUAGCGGUGAAAUGCGUAGAUAUUAGGAGGAACACCAGUGGCGAAGGCGAUCUACUGGACGAUAACUGACGCUGAGGCGCGAAAGCGUGGGGAGCAAACAGGAUUAGAUACCCUGGUA
rnacentral:rRNA from 1 species